rnacentral:lncRNA from 1 species
UUAGGUUUUUGGUUAAGGUUUUGGUGUAAGUUUUGUGUCAUUUGGGGUUUUUAUGAAGAAGUUAUAGGCGCUCAAAGUUAAGGUGUUAGUUUUGGACCUACUGUCACUCUUUUGGACAUAACGCACGCAUACAAAUGGCAAUUGACGAUCGGCGACUGCGACUAGAGAGAGCACUUUUGCGGCUAUACUUUUCACAUACUAAUUACUGGAUUCUAAGUUGGGAUGAAGGAGUUAUUGGAUUUUGAAGUCAGCACAUGCAAUCUAAGGGUAGUAAGUAAACCGAUUUACUAGUGUUUGUCUCUUGAGCUAUAUCUUGAGCAAUUUGACAAGGUUUUGGCUCAA